GAGCCAGCAGGAAAAGGAGGAUUGAUAUUUGGUCCUCCUGACAACUCGGAUACUCAGUCUGGCACUUCUGAAUCAGGAAAUUCAGCAUGUGCUGGAAGGAUAAUGCUGAAUGACUCUGAUCCUUUGCUGCCCUCCUCUGGCUCUCCUUUUCAUUCAGCUCUGCAGGGAGAAACCAUUCGAACCUUUAAUGCUGUGUCAGCGUUUCAGGGUGAGGACAGUGGUGUCCGUACUAUGGAACAAGCUGUAAGUUCACAGCCAGUACCAUUAGAAUCUGAGUCUAAUACUGACAACAUGGAAAAUAGUUCUCCUGCAUCAGCUUUGGAUGAUAAAGGUGAGCAAAGCAAUGAGGAGGAGCAAAAAACUAUCAAGCCUACAAGUAAAGAGUUCAGGAAAACCUGGGGGUUUCGAAGGACUACAAUUGCUAAGCGAGAAGGUGCAGGAGAUACUGAUGUGGACUGUAGUGAACAACAGCCACAACAGCAGCAACAAAGCUUAAACCUCAGGCGUAGUGGUCGGCAACCAAAGCGAACAGAGAGAGUGGAAGAAUUUCUUACAACAGUAAGACGCAGAGGAAGGAGGAGUGUUCCUACUACUCUGGAAGAUUCAAGUGAACCAGCAUCCUGUCCAGCUACAGAUGCUGAAACUGCUUCAGAAGACAGUGUUGAGAGCACUCCCGAUAUAAAACCUGUGACUCGGAGGAUUAACACUAGGAGUAGCAAGGAUCAGAAAGGCUCUAAAAGCAGAUGCACAAAAGAGGAAGAAGAAGAGGAGGAGGAGGAGGAGGAGGAAGAGGAAGAGGAAGAUGAUGAUACUUCUGAUAGUGAUAGUGAUGGGUUAACACUAAAGGAGCUGCAGAAUCGACUAAGAAAGAAACGUGUUGAACAGAAACCUGUGCAGCUGACAUUGAAGGAUAUACAGAACCGUCUGAGGAAAAGAAAUUCAGAACAAGAUCCUACAGAAACAGGUGAUGUCCAGCCUGAAAAACAAGGUGAGUCUGAGUUGCCUGUCAAACAAGAGCCUGAGACUGCAGACAACACUGAGAUUGCAAGUCAAGUGAUUGUGUCUGAGGAAGACACUGAAGAUCUUCAGGUUCAGAAGGAGGUAAAGCCUGCUCUUGGUGCAAAAGGGAUCACAGAUGAAGAACCCGAAGAACUGCCCAAAAGCAAACCUGAGUCUGAGAUUUAUGACCCAAAUGCACUGUACUGUAUUUGUCGUCAGCCUCAUAACAACAGGUUUAUGAUUUGUUGUGAUAGAUGUGAGGAAUGGUUUCAUGGUGACUGCGUGGGUAUUUCUGAAGCUCGAGGGCGAUUGUUGGAAAGGAAUGGCGAGGACUAUAUCUGUCCGAACUGCACCAUUCUACAGGGACAGGAUGAGCCUGCUUCAGAAAUAGACCAGCAGGAAGCUAAAGCGGGGCAAGUAAAUGUGGAUGGCACAGAAUUCACAAGCAUAGGAACAAUUGAACAAAAAUCUGUUGAGGACCAAGGAAUCAAGGGUAGGAUUGAAAAAGCUGCAAAUCCAAGUGGGAAGAAAAAACUAAAGAUAUUUCAACCUGUAAUUGAAGCUCCUGGUGCAUCGAAGUGCAUUGGUCCUGGCUGUUUUAAUUUGGCUCAGCCUGAUUCUGUGUAUUGCAGCAAUGACUGCAUUCUCAAACAUGCUGCAGCCACUAUGAAGUUUUUAAGUGCUGGCAAAGAUGCAAAACCAAAACCUAAAGAGAAGAUCAAACCAAAAUCUGAAAAACCUGGGAUGCCAAAAUCUCAACUGCAGGCAGGUAUUAAGCCUCUUUCAAACCAAAAGAGACAAUUUCCUGAGAAAAGAGAGAUGAAUAUGAAGAAGACUGUUUUGACAACUGCCAAGACUGAGGCAAACAUUCAACCUAUUGUUAAAGAGCCAGCAGCAGAAAACAGCACACCGUCCUGGGCAAGCGAUCAUAAUUACAAUGCUGUAAAGCCUGAAAGGACUGCUGCCAUUUCAUCUUCACUGUUGUUCAAAUGUAUGUAUCGCAUAGGGAUAUUCCUGAAUAAUCAUUUACAUUUUCUUUGAAUAUCCAUCCAUUCUUGGCUCUGCAAGACUAGGGAGUUUAGGAUUUGGGGUUUUUUUUCUUAGUAUGGCACCAAACUACUUUUCGCCACCUUCAAAGAUUCGCACACAGAGAUACACACAAAUGGGAGACACUUUUAGAAGUUUCAUUUGUAUCAUGUGUCAGUUGUAUGAUUAAGAGCCUAUCAAUCUACCCAGCUGAUUUCUGGAUGAAAACUACAUGAUUAAGCUUUAAAUUUUUCCUAUAAAGACAGUAACUGUUUCUAAUCUAGAAAAGGUAAGUAUUGAUACAUUUGUGUUAAGUUUUACAAAAAGGUUGCACAGCAUGCACUGUGAAUCAGCAGUUGACUGUACUAAUUUGAAUUGUAUUUUUGUAAUUUAGAUUUGGCACCUGUCUCUCAGGUCUUGCAUUUUCAGUGCUAGUGCCGAGAAUGAAAUCUUCAACGUGGUAUCCAACGAUACUUUACACUUCUGCAAACAGCUUUUAACUGUCAAGUAUAUCCAAGUUCUUCCUGCUGCCUUUCUUCCUUACAUGAAAUAAUUUAAGGACCAUUCUUUACUUUUAAGUUUGGGGGGGAGGCAGUACUCUUUUUUUUUUUUUUUUUUUUAAUUUAUUUUUUAUUUUUCCCCUCCCCCUGCCCCCGUCUGUUUGUACGUUCAUACUUCACACAUUAUCCACACACACAAGAACACAUCUUAAGUGGAUAUUAGGCAGAGAUAUUGCCUUGCAUAUUUUUGCAGGUUUUGAAUAGCAUCCUUGUAACUCAUAUAAAGGUAAGUAAAUACUGCUUUGUAGCCUGAACAAGUCUUUCUGCUAAUGACCGUUUUUUGAUUGACUCCAGCUAAGUAGUUUUAUAAUGCAGCGGUGGAACUUCAGAUGAAAUCUUACAUUUCACAUUUACAAAACACACGACCUGGUGUCUGAUGUUUACUCACUUGAAGAUUAAUGAAUUCAGAAAUUCAGUUCUCACAGCUUGCUUAACCACUCUUUAGCCAAUUUACAUUUUAUUUUCAGAAAUAAACCUAGUUAUUAAACACAUACAUUCUAUGUAAAGUAACUGUUAAGUUUAUAACUUAUCUUUAAGAUGAGAUUUUUUUUAGAUGUAAUUUUUAAACACUGAGGGAACACCAGCUACCCUAAAUUGCUGUUUAUUAUUAUAGCACAUAGUAUGACUUCCUAGGUAUGUUUUAAUUGUAUUUACCCACAUCAAAUGUUGAAAUGGGUAUAAUUUUUCCCUGCAUAUUUUUGUUGCGUAUUUUGUUACUUGGGCCCUGUGCCUUUUUUAUAGUGCACUCUUAAGAUACAUAUUUUGACAAACUUGCAUUUUUUAAGCUUCUUCUAAAGAAACUGUAGCUUUUUUUGUCAGAAACAGUAGUGUGUUAAACAUAACUAAAAUUGAGAAAGAUGUAAAUGAAACUAUAAGGGCUUAUUUUACAUGUCAAAUCUUUGUGACACUUUCUAUCUUAAUAUAAUUGCAAGUGUCCAUAUAAUCAUAUCACUUAAAAUGUCCUUAUUGCUAUAGGGUUUUUUUUUCUAGGAGACAGGAAUACAGGUUUUGAGGCAACAAAUUUGUUUUUUAAGGGGGUGUUGCUCUUAAGUUUUACCACACUGGUGGUUAUACAGAUUUAACCAAUUCCAGUAGAAAAUCGGAUUCCUGUAGCUAAAUUUUUAAAUUAGUUCAAAAAUAUGUGUAUAUACCAGACUUUAAUAACGAACAGAAAACAACCUAGUUCGUGUGAUGAAGAACUCUCGUACCAAAUGCAAGGAAGACCUUUGGAUUGCUAUUAUUAAGGUAAGUUGUACUAAUAUGUGGGGACUCUGUGCCAUUACUAAAUUCCCAGGUAAAUUGUUUGUGUAUUUGUGAAAAAAAUUGUCCUGCUUUUUGAUGGAUGGGUUUGAUCUGUAAUCUUCUGAGAAGCUGCCAUUGCAUCAUCUUCUAAGAGUAUUCUACAAUAUUUUAUUUAUGUAACAAAUCUUUAUAUGCUCUUCAAAAACAUAGAAGUUACAGCAUUACGGAAAUUCGUGAGAGUCAUCUCACUUCACUUAGGGUAUCUAAAAGUUAGAACUCUUUAAGACUGAGCUAGUCUAUCAAGAAAAACACCUUCAGUGGACAAAGCAUACCAUCUGUUUUAGACACUAAUCUCAGAACAAAGUGACUCGCUGUUUAGAAAUGUGUGUUUCUGAACAUUGAAUAUGAAGGACGUUUAAGAUGAAUAGUUCAGGCAUCUAGGUGUCUAAUGUUUGGACUUAAGGUCACCUAGAGGAGGCUAAGGACAGGAUUCUUCCAUAUACAGUGUUUCAAAAUACCACCCGCAUCCUCCCAGAGCUUCAAGCCAUGUUCCGCAAAUCCUUACUUGCGACUUCAGUGCACAAGGCCCUUUAGGAAUUAAGGAAACUUAACACGAUUAGCAGAAUUGUUCUCUCUAAUAUUCUUUCCAUUAGUCAGUUUAUCAUAUUUCAGACAUGGAUUUACUUUAUACGUUUACUCUGUACUUGUCAGAUACAAGAUUUUGUUGUUAGAUAUGACAGUAGUUUCACUAGUAGCAAGAAGAAAAUCAAGCCAGUCUUACAGAUGUACUGGGUGAUAGGGGCAUGUAGUAUAUUUGCAUCUAAACCCUGCCACCAAGCCCCCUUUUCUCUUCCCAACCUGUUCUGCAUUUAAAAAAGAAAAGAAAGGACACUUGGUGCUAGUAGUAUGCAGUUAUAUAGAGCAGCGAUUUUUUUUUUUUUUUUUUUUUUUUUUCUUCUCUGUUACUCCAUUGGUUUGUGUUUCUACAUAAUUUUUUUUCUGUAGCUUUUUCUGGGGAUGAGUUAGGGCUGUACUUGGAAGUGACUUUGUACACGAAAAUCUGGAGCCUGAUUAAUGACACUGUCUUACAUCUUGAUAUUCCCAGUGAAAAUAAUCCUUUUUAUUCAUUUAAUAACUACAGUAGGAAAUAGCUUGAACUUGCUUUGAUGAGUGAAUACUAAGUACAAGUACUUUUAAAGUUGCAGUCAGUAUUUGAACUACACAUAGAAGAGGAAAUUAGAUAUGUGUCACAUUCCCUUUCAGAGGUGUUGCUUUUAAUUUCAUUAGGAAAAUUGGUAUUAAUGUAAUAUGCAGUGCUAAACUUCUAUAUUGAAUUUUAAGCCAUCCUAGCUUCCAAAUUGAUACAAGUAUAUGGAUUGUUGAGAUUUAGGAACAUUAUUGUUCAGAGAUUCAAGUUGUGAUAGAAAUCCUGAAUUUGUCAUGUGAGCUAGUGUUAAUUAUCAAUAUUUAGGUCAUAUCUAAGGAGAUGUAAAAUUCAUAACAAAAGCAAAACAGACUGUUGUUUUAUCUAGUAAGAUCACCUAGGUGUCUGUGGGGAAGCACCAGCCAAAAUGAUUUCUGAAAUGUUUUCAGUUUCGUUAGCAGACUGACAUACAUCUUACAGUAAUAGGAAGCAUUAUUUUUAAUUAUACUGGAGGAGGACAAACUUUAAACAGCAUAAUAUAUGCACAUUUUUUUCCUUAAGGAACAACAAAAGCAGUUGGCGUCCACUGCUUUACUCUGCUGAGAGCUUUUACACUUCAAGUUUUAUACUAAAUAAUAUCAUGUAUUGCAUUUGUAAUAAUAUUUGUCCAUUAUAUGCACUGCUGCCCUGUAAGAAGGGGGUAAAAGAACACUUCAGACAUGAAGUUUGUUGAUGCAGAGGUUUAUCAGCAGUAUCAAUGUAUAUAUCUGAAGCACCUGAACUCAGGUUUCUGCUUGAUAGAGCAAAACUUGAAAGAGACUUUUUUCUAUAUUUUUGCUGUUAAUUGCCAAAUAAAAGUCGUUAGCAAAUGUAUCAGCAGUUUUAAAAUAGAAGAUGAAUCCAAAAGGGCGGGAAAGAAGAUAGACGUUUGUGGUAUCCCAAUUUUGAAACUGUCCAGUUAUAAGUAUACUUAAGUACUUAUCAGUGCUUCAAAUCUUUGUUGAAGUUCAGCUGACUUACCUUAUUAGACUUAGAAGAAAUACAUGAACCAGUAAUUUCCUGAACUCAGGUGUUAAAGCUACUUAAACAUCUUAACUGCAUUUAUUGAUAAAAGUAACUAAGCGCACAGGAGAGUUCUUGUGGUAGAACUUCCUGAGUAAAAAGCACACCAAGCCACUAAACUUCUGUUUACUUAACUGUAGACAGAUAAAUAGUAUGAGCUUAUAGCUAUCUAUUGUAACAUGUUAUUUGGUGCUAGUAUUUCAAAGAAGUUGUUCACGAGUGGCACUUCGAAGGGGAAGUAUUUCAUUAAGAGAAAAGCACAAGGGUUUUGGUACCUCUCCUGCUUUUUACAGCAGUGAAUUACAGAGACACAACUUCAUGCUGCCACCUCCUGGAAGUGGGAGGCCAGGUUUGAGGAGCCCUGGCUCUGGUGAUACAAAUUUCCUUUUAUUAUCCCCUUUCAGUUUUCUUUCUUCUGCAGCUAAACUUUUCUAUACCCAAGACCUAUUCACAAAGUGAAUAGCGCCUGCUUGUACAGUUAGAGAUCCCAGAUACAAAGGUCACUUGGACUGCUUUGUUCCUAUACACUCCUAACAAAAUAUGGAGACGCUGUAAAGGGAAUACAGUGAUACUGGAAGCCCAUCAUCAGAAAAUGUGAUGCGCAUACCAAAAUGCUAGGAUUAUAGCAUAUAUAAUUUAUGUAUUUUUUUCUUGUGUCAUUUUUUUUUUUCUUUCCGUAAUAACAGUAUGAAGGCAGGAAAGAAAGAAAAUAUCCCACUAUAAAUAGAGCAGGAGGAAAAUGUAGUACACUCAAGACAGGAGUUACGGCUCAGGAGGCAAUAGUGAUGUAGGAAGCUGUAAGUACCAUUGCGAAAAGGAAAAAGUAAGGCCUUGUUUGCACACUGACUAGUGUCAAUAUAAUGCUUCUCUUUGGGCAAGAUUGUACCAGCUUAAGUUGUGACUAUUCAAUUGAGUGCAGUGUAUGUGGAUAUACUGCUGUUGGUUUAGCUUAACUAUUAAAAAAUAUUUUACUUAAACUGAGGAGCCGUUCUUAAGUCAUAAGUAUGUUUGUCUGCAAGGACUGACUAGUUAAACUUGAUGCCUUUGUUUUGGUGUGAGUGCUUCCCCACAGGAAAAACUAGCCUGUGCCAAGUUCCAUACUGUUAUAACUAAACUACUUCUGGCAUCUGAAUUAACUCCUUGAAAGCUAAGGUGUCUUUGCUUAAUGCUGUGUUCUGCAAUGUAGACCCUUAUUAAGAGUCAAUAGUAUUGAGUAGUACCAGGGGAAUAAAAAAAAAUUAUUUUACGUUACUGGCCAUUUUCUGGGACACGUGGCUGCUGUAUAGGUAGGUCUAGCCUUAACUCUUUGUAACUAGGGGAGUUUUCAGAAAGGCUGCUGACAGACCAAAUAAUGAUCAGAAUACCUAAGAUGAGUCUGCCAGAACUUCUGAGAAAUUCAUGUUGGAGAUCUUCUGGCUUUGGAAAGAUUAUAGUACAGGAGUGGCUGGUGUAACGCAGCUCCGGUGCUGACCUUGCAUCGUGAGAGUGGCAGGGGCUGUGCUGGCACAUGAUCUGAACCCUGGCUGUGGAGUGAGGCAGACCAGUAGUGGCUGCUGAAGCCAACAUUCCCUGGGACCCAGCCAAUUAAAAGGAGCAGUGGGAUCCUUGGGGAGCAAUUAUCAUCUCCUGCCUGUGAACUACUGGAGCUCCCCUUCUCUGCUCUACAAGGUAUGUUAACAUCUGUCCUGUGGCUGUCAGCCACAUGAAGAUUUUUGCCAUGUCUCUUAAGUUAGGAAGGCUGGUCCCGACUCCUGGCAUGUUUCCUAUUUUGCCUUUCAAGCACCUAGCACCCCCAAGGCGCUUGGACGACAGAAAGCCAGCACUCUUGCCAUAAUGGGUGCGUGGCUUCAGUAUAAGGAACCAUUGCUGAGGGGAAGGGUUGGGGGGGGGCAGAAACCUGGUACAACUUACGGAUGCACUAUGAAUAUUAGGGUGGUUUAUCUCUUGUCAUCAACACUGAAAGUGAUGAAAGUUUGAUUAAAAAAACUCACCACCCUCUAUUGCUGUUUUGCUUUCUUUUACUAAUAUUACUUUAGUUCUUUGAACUUGCUCACUUGACUGCAUAGCCAGUGAAAAAGAUCUUUCUCUGCUAGUCCCCAAAUAAAAGGGAUUUUUUGAGGUGAUCACUGGCACUUUGGAGUCAAGUUUUGCUGCUGAUCUUGGUGCUGAUGAUUCACUGUGUGAUCUGUACUGAACUUGGAACCUGAAGAUGGCCUGUCCCUGCAAGGACUGAUGAUACCAAUCCAUGAACGGUCUGGAAAAUGAGGAGCCCUUUUUUUUUUGCCUCUUUCACUCGGGAGUGGUGUAGUUGUGAAGAUGCAGUCGGCUAAUGUAGAUCAGAUAAAUCACUAUAAUUUCAUGUAGAUUAAAAUAAACAAAGCUUUGCCUGUCUAAGCUACAGAUUUGCAUGAGCAUAGCUACAGCCUUGGCUUGAAUGCAAACAAAUCACCACCACAGAAAAGGCCCUUGUCUCAGAGUUUCCUAAAUUAAUUAACUUUAAAGACAGGUUUACUUUCUUUGUGUGCCUGAAUGUAAGGGCUUGGCACACAGGCAGCUUGAUUACGAGCUUCUCAUUGUGGUGCAGAUUAGAACUGAUAGAGGCUUUUGAAGAAAAGCAGGGCAGGGGGCACACCUCUGAAACACUAUAGUGUUUAAUAAUAAAGUCUUGAAAGUGGAAGCAGACACAUUGUUCCAUAGGCAAUUAACAGUGAAAAACUAACAGUGAAACCUAUUUAAGAAUAGUUCAACACUUCUGAAUUAUUUAGAACUAAUGCUAAACUAUCUUUGAGGGAAAUGACAAAAAGUCUAGCAAAAACAGGUUUCAGGAAAGCAACAGUUGAACGGUCGUGGAACUGAAGCGGUUACAAACUACACCUCACCUUCACAGCCUUGGGCACUGAAUGUUCGGUGCCACAAGAGGGUGCUUCAGUGGCACCUAACAGCAUUGACUCUUCGACAAGUUUCUGAGGCUCUGAGAUGUCAGGCAUGCAUUCCAGCAGUGUGACUAUGCAAAGGCUGCUCUUGAGGAACGUCUCGUAACUGAAACUUGUUAACUACCAGCUUUCUCACUGUUGAUGCCACACAAACUUGUAUGCUGUGCAUACAUUUGAUAGUUGUGGGUGGUGGUUUUUUUUCCUAAAACUGUUUUAGUGACAGAGGAGCAUGAAAAAUAUCCGUAGAACCCACACGUGCUUCACCAGCCUCCAUGCUGGGGGCUUGUAAAGGCUCGCCAGUGUGCAAGGCAGUGUCUUCUGAAGUGUUGGGUUGCCAGCAUCCUGCUCCCUUGGGCCAGUGCUCCCACUGUGGAAAGUUCUGUGCAAGCUGGACAAGACGACGCAGCCAUCAGCCUGUGCUCUCUGCACACUGCCAUGAGGAAUAGUAUCCUGGGGAAAAAAGUGGAUUAGUGUAGAUGGAAGAGAACACAGGGAAAUGUUAAGAGUAUAUUAGACACCGGAGACAAUAGUUCUGGUGUAUGAACAGCCUUAUGCCAGACUUAAUUCUGUAGGGAAACUUCUCAUAAUUGGUACUAUGUAACAAACAAUCUGCUUACAUGGCUGCAAGACAUUUUUCACAAAAGUCUUUUUAAAAAAGUGUUCUGUAGUAGUAGCUGUGAUCCUUUUUUAUUUUUUUGCAAAGAUUUUUUCAAAGGAAAAAAAUCUGAGCCUUACAGACUCGUUAUGAGACAGACUCUUGAAGUGUAACUGCCUAUGGUUUGUCUGCAGCAUCGUUUAAAACUUUCAGCAUCAACUACAGCAAGAUCUUUAAUGUGUGAUUUGAAUAAUUUUAAAACUAUACAAACAAAAGUAAUAGCACAUUUCCUUAGGUAUUUAAAAGUUGGAAAAACUAGAAAACGUCUCUGGGCAAACAACCCGUCAAAAAUGAGAUAAUUUAAAUAGAAACUAAGGGUCGUGGUGUACUGUUGAAGUGGCUUUCUAAAGCUACUAUUCCAAAGAAAGAUUGGGUGGAGAGGGAAAGAGGGAAGAACCAGCAUAGGCUUGAAUGCUCUACAGAAAUAUUUUUAAGAGAUCAGAGGAGGAGCAAAGUUCCCUUUCCAUGCUGGUAGUGUAAAACACAGCCUCCCAGUGUAGGUGAGGGAUUAUGAUACGAGUGCAUCCCACAAAUCCUUCACGCAAAAUUAAAACAGCACGACACUGGAAAUCAUUUUUAAAUUAGGCCUGAACAACCACAUUAACAAUGCUGAAACAUCAAUGUUGAGAUGUACAAAAGUGAAGGAUACCUAACCAUCAGGCUUUCAACAGGCUUGUCUGUAACACAGUAGAUAAUGUAGCAGUUAAUGUCCCCCACUGCUUACAGAAGUUCCAUUCUUAGCUGCACGUUGUGAUAUUUGGCUUAGCUUCACGGGGAAUUUCCUUAGCGAGGGGUUCUGUAUCUGUUGACAUCUAGUGGGAGAUAUUAUAGUUAAGCCUGUAGUGAACAUACCAUAGUAAUGCUAUUUCUUAAGCCUUGCAAGGAAUGCCCUUUUUUUGCCAGAGGAUUCAUUGGGUUUCACUCUGGAAAUGAACUGACUCAUUAGCUCUAUCUGAACCUCUCAGUCUUUUUAGCCCGUGCCUCUUCAGUCAGUAAGAAUCCUGUUGCUGUCCUAAUAAGUGCCUCACAGGACAAAAUGGGGGAAAUGGGAAUUAAUGUUUUGUUUUGUUUUAAAUACCAUUUCUAACAUCAAGCCAAGGGAGGUACACCUGUGUGUUCAAAAGUGCCAAAUAGAAGAGCUACUAAAUGCCUUAUUCUGGCACUAAUCUUCUGCCUCUGGUGAAACUCCCUAUUAUUCUGUUAGGCUGGACAGGCUAAUGUUCAGUAGUCAUCUCUAUCCUUUUAUUUUAAAUUUAAGAAUGUUUAUUGUAGGUACCCUGGAGCUACUGAUGGAAAGGACCGGCAACAUCACAGUAUAAAAUACAGUGGCCAGUAUGUAUAGUAGGCAUUGACUGCGUCUUCAAGUUGUUCGUGGACUGCAAAGCCAAGCAAUUUGAAACUCGUGGUCUGAGAGAAUACCUGUUCCAUCAUACGUCCCAUCAACUUGCUGAGUGACUGUGGCAUCUGUUUAGAAGUUAAAUUCCACAUAUGUUGGCAUGCUGCUCUGAAAGGAGUACAUAUUUCUAUUAAUUCUUCCAAACAUAAUACUUGCCACAGUUUCUUACCUAUCAGAAGACAGUGUAAGCUUUGGGGUGUGCCGAUGUUGCAGCUAAGUCAAUAGAAGAGCAAGCUCCCACCAGAAGAGGCAGUCCUGCUCCUUCCUCAGCUGGGUGCUCCUGUGCGUUGGAUCUAAGACCCAUGUAAUGACACAGGGAGUUGGUUCAGCCGAAUUACGUGGCAGCACAUUAAUCUUGUCACUAAAGACCAAAACUUGAUAGGACAAAAAUUCUAGUUUCUCAUAGUCAAAAUAGGAUAAGAGGUUUUUUAGAUUAUGUUCAACUACAGCCAUCAAAAGUUAUUCAUGUAUGUAGGAUUUAAGUAGUCUCGAUUCCUUGUCAAAAUGAGCACGUGAUCUGACUGUCCUUCAAAUAGUGAUGUGUCCUGUAAAUUUGCAAAAGUAGUUGGUAGGUGUUCUGAAGCACUGAAUGACCUACAUGUGACUGAAUUAGUACAUACAAAAUCUGUACCAUCAAUUUCUCCAAUCAACAGGUACUGCUAGGUGGACAGUUUUAAUUGGUAUAAAGUAAUAUCGUAGUUUGAAACUUUAUGAAGCUUAUGAAGUACUUGCACAUCUUCUGUUGCCGUGCUAAAGCAGCGCAGAAUUACACGCCUUACUUUGGAAACCUUUCUAAAUAGUCACGGUAUCAGCUUGCAGAAUAAAGGAUGCUUCUGCAUCUUUCUUCUCGGACCCUUUUUGAUUCUGCUGCCCUUCAACCCUGGGAACUUCAAUCUACCUUUGUACUAGUACCAUUUAUUUAUUUUACAAGUACGUAUUCUUACUAUGAUAUAGCUGUGUAACAUAGAGAGGUUUGUGGUGUGGAUAUAGUUCUCAUAUAUAUACAACAUCUGAUUGACACAAAACUUCUUGUGCUAUUUUUAGUUUUAUCAGCGUAGUUCUUGUUAACUAAUUUGAACUAAUGAUUAAAAAGAUAGUGUAUAGAGGAUUAAAUACAAACUUAGAAUUUCAUAUUUUGUACUUCUGCUGUAAACCUAAAGAACUAAAUGUCUUAGCACUGAGGACUGAAUUUCACUGUCAUCAUUUUGAAACCCAAGCUGUGCUGUCCUGCCUUACCAUGAUGAGUCACAGAAACGUGCUUCUGUCCUACCUGCCUGAAAAGGUACAAUUCUGUGCAGAAGAUGCAAUAAACCGGGAAAAAGAGAA